AAACAAUCCCUCACCUGUACACAGAUUGUGUUCAGAGAGAAGCGACUUUGGAAAACAGUCUGGAACAGUCUGGAACUGGAGCCCCCUUGAUUUCGCUCUACCCCACAGCCAGGGGAUCUGUUCGGAAUGUAGAUGGUGCAGACGCUUUCAGCCUGACUACUGCCCUUUCUCCAAGGUGGAAAAGCUCCUGCGGGACCUGCCUCCCACCUAAUCUGCAGCUCCGUUCCUGCAUCUCCUCCACCCUCACCGUGCUCCCGGCACACUGGUCUCCACGAUGUCCUUUCAAAGAACAGGCAAUUAAGGGUGAAUUUGGAGCUGAGAAGCAAGAGAUUGAUCACGGGCACAGCAGGACUCAGGGCUGCACUGAAUCUGAGAUCUUCGUCACGCUCGGAUGGGGAAACUGAGUCCUGGGGAUCUUUGUCCCAAAUCUCACGGUUACUGAACGGCUACGUUGGAACUAGAUGCAAGGUCUUGCAAUUUUCUCUAAAUUUUCUACAUGGCCACCUCAAAAAGAAAGCAUGCUGCACCUUUCAUUUUCUGGUGCAAAGCAGAAGAAAUGCGGAAGGAAGAGAAGGAGAAAGAAUCAAGUAAGUCCUGCUCCUUACUGAAACUGCCAGGUGCCCUGCUGGAAUCCUCCUUGGGAGAGAGCCUUCAAAAAAAGACAUGUUAUUGCAAGGCCACUCCCUGUUUUCCACAUUCUUGACAGAGCAGCCCCAAGUUCGCUGAGGAGGUGGCAGUGGAAGAGGAGCUGGAAAACAGCCUCGGGUGCUUGGGUUCCGAAGCCCAGACAGAGUCUAAUCCAGAAGGAACCACUGGCCUCUGGAAUCGCAACUUAACCCCUUCAUAGCUUAAAGACAGACAAGAUCAGAAAGGCAGGCCUCUGGAAAGAAAUGAAGAUCACCUGAAAGUGUAAAUAAGUGAAUAAACAUGAAAGACAAUUUUUAUCAAUGUUUAAUUUAUGUAAAAGGUGAUUGAAUGUUUAAAGC
rnacentral:lncRNA from 1 species